AGAGUUUGAUCCUGGCUCAGGAUGAACGCUGGCGGCGUGCUUAACACAUGCAAGUCGAACGGGAAACCUUUUAUUGAAGCUUCGGCAGAUUUAGAUUGUUUCUAGUGGCGGACGGGUGAGUAACGCGUGGGUAACCUGCCUUAUACAGGGGGAUAACAGUCAGAAAUGACUGCUAAUACCGCAUAAGCGCACAGAGCUGCAUGGCUCGGUGUGAAAAACUCCGGUGGUAUAAGAUGGACCCGCGUUGGAUUAGCUAGUUGGUGAGGUAACGGCCCACCAAGGCGACGAUCCAUAGCCGGCCUGAGAGGGUGAACGGCCACAUUGGGACUGAGACACGGCCCAGACUCCUACGGGAGGCAGCAGUGGGGAAUAUUGCACAAUGGGGGAAACCCUGAUGCAGCGACGCCGCGUGAAGGAAGAAGUAUCUCGGUAUGUAAACUUCUAUCAGCAGGGAAGAAAAUGACGGUACCUGACUAAGAAGCCCCGGCUAACUACGUGCCAGCAGCCGCGGU
rnacentral:rRNA from 1 species